UUAACCGUAUAGGGGAGCCGCAGGGAAACCGAGUCUUAACCGGGCGUUAAGUUGCAGGGUAUAGACCCGAAACCCGGUGAUCUAGCCAUGGGCAGGUUGAAGGUUGGGUAACACUAACUGGAGGACCGAACCGACUAAUGUUGAAAAAUUAGCGGAUGACCUGUGGCUGGGGGUGAAAGGCCAAUCAAACCGGGAGAUAGCUGGUUCUCCCCGAAAGCUAUUUAGGUAGCGCCUCGUGAACUCAUCUCCGGGGGUAGAGCACUGUUUCGGCUAGGGGGCCAUCCCGGCUUACCAACCCGAUGCAAACUGCGAAUACCGGAGAAUGUUAUCACGGGAGACACACGGCGGGUGCUAACGUCCGUCGUGAAGAGGGAAACAACCCAGACCGCCAGCUAAGGUCCCAAAGUCAUGGUUAAGUGGGAAACGAUGUGGGAAGGCCCAGACAGCCAGGAUGUUGGCUUAGAAGCAGCCAUCAUUUAAAGAAAGCGUAAUAGCUCACUGGUCGAGUCGGCCUGCGCGGAAGAUGUAACGGGGCUAAACCAUGCACCGAAGCUGCGGCAGCGACACUAUGUGUUGUUGGGUAGGGGAGCGUUCUGUAAGCCUGUGAAGGUGGCCUGUGAGGGUUGCUGGAGGUAUCAGAAGUGCGAAUGCUGACAUAAGUAACGAUAAAGCGGGUGAAAAGCCCGCUCGCCGGAAGACCAAGGGUUCCUGUCCAACGUUAAUCGGGGCAGGGUGAGUCGACCCCUAAGGCGAGGCCGAAAGGCGUAGUCGAUGGGAAACGGGUUAAUAUUCCCGUACUUGGUGUUACUGCGAAGGGGGGACGGAGAAGGCUAUGUUGGCCGGGCGACGGUUGUCCCGGUUUAAGCGUGUAGGUGUGUGUUCCAGGUAAAUCCGGUUCACUUUAACACUGAGGCGUGAUGACGAGGCACUACGGUGCUGAAGCAACAAAUGCCCUGCUUCCAGGAAAAGCCUCUAAGCAUCAGGUAACAUCAAAUCGUACCCCAAACCGACACAGGUGGUCAGGUAGAGAAUACCAAGGCGCUUGAGAGAACUCGGGUGAAGGAACUAGGCAAAAUGGUGCCGUAACUUCGGGAGAAGGCACGCUGACAUGUAGGUGAAGUGAUUUACUCAUGGAGCUGAAGUCAGUCGAAGAUACCAGCUGGCUGCAACUGUUUAUUAAAAACACAGCACUGUGCAAACACGAAAGUGGACGUAUACGGUGUGACGCCUGCCCGGUGCCGGAAGGUUAAUUGAUGGGGUCAGCGCAAGCGAAGCUCCUGAUCGAAGCCCCGGUAAACGGCGGCCGUAACUAUAACGGUCCUAAGGUAGCGAAAUUCCUUGUCGGGUAAGUUCCGACCUGCACGAAUGGCGUAAUGAUGGCCAGGCUGUCUCCACCCGAGACUCAGUGAAAUUGAACUCGCUGUGAAGAUGCAGUGUACCCGCGGCAAGACGGAAAGACCCCGUGAACCUUUACUAUAGCUUGACACUGAACAUUGAGCCUUGAUGUGUAGGAUAGGUGGGAGGCUUUGAAGUGUGGACGCCAGUCUGCAUGGAGCCGACCUUGAAAUACCACCCUUUAAUGUUUGAUGUUCUAACGUGGACCCGUAAUCCGGGUUGCGGACAGUGUCUGGUGGGUAGUUUGACUGGGGCGGUCUCCUCCUAAAGAGUAACGGAGGAGCACGAAGGUUGGCUAAUCCUGGUCGGACAUCAGGAGGUUAGUGCAAUGGCAUAAGCCAGCUUGACUGCGAGCGUGACGGCGCGAGCAGGUGCGAAAGCAGGUCAUAGUGAUCCGGUGGUUCUGAAUGGAAGGGCCAUCGCUCAACGGAUAAAAGGUACUCCGGGGAUAACAGGCUGAUACCGCCCAAGAGUUCAUAUCGACGGCGGUGUUUGGCACCUCGAUGUCGGCUCAUCACAUCCUGGGGCUGAAGUAGGUCCCAAGGGUAUGGCUGUUCGCCAUUUAAAGUGGUACGCGAGCUGGGUUUAGAACGUCGUGAGACAGUUCGGUCCCUAUCUGCCGUGGGCGCUGGAGAACUGAGGGGGGCUGCUCCUAGUACGAGAGGACCGGAGUGGACGCAUCACUGGUGUUCGGGUUGUCAUGCCAAUGGCACUGCCCGGUAGCUAAAUGCGGAAGAGAUAAGUGCUGAAAGCAUCUAAGCACGAAACUUGCCCCGA
rnacentral:rRNA from 1 species